GGGGUUGUGGCUCAGCGGUAGAGCAUUCACCUCGAAUGUGUGAUGCCCUGGGUUCGAUCUUCAGCACCACA
rnacentral:tRNA from 1 species